GAGUUUGAUCUUGGCUCAGAUUGAACGCUGGCGGAAUGCUUUACACAUGCAAGUCGAGCGGCAGCGCGGGGCAACCUGGCGGCGAGCGGCGAACGGGUGAGUAAUGCAUCGGAACAUGUCCAUGUCGUGGGGGAGUAGCCCGGCGAAAAGCCGGAUUAAUACCGCAUACGCCCGAGAGGGGAAAGUGGGGGACCGCAAGGCCGUCACGGCGAUUGGGUUGGCCGAUGUCCGAUUAGCUAGUUGGCGGGGUAAUGGCCGACCAAGGCGAUGAUCGGUAGCUGGUCUGAGAGGAUGAUCAGCCACACUGGGACUGAGACACGGCCAGACUCCUACGGGAGGCAGGCAGUGGGGAAAUUUUGGACGAAAUGGGGGCAACCCUGAUCCAGCCAUUCCGCGUGAGUGAAGAAGGCCUGUGUAGUA
rnacentral:rRNA from 1 species